rnacentral:lncRNA from 1 species
UGCAAUUUGUUUUAUUAAACCAAAUUGUUCAACUGGUCAGAAUAUUGAACAAAUUGUUCAGUCAAAAUGUGAAAGUGCAAGGUGAUAAAACAAAACAUACUUACAAUCCUAUAAGACUUUAACUCCACUUUAAUGAUGUUGUGACACAAUUAGUUUAUCAGUUUGUAUAGAUAUAUUAUAGUCAUUUCCAUGCUGAAGAGGAACUGUUUAUUUUGAAUUGCUAUAAAAUUGUCCAAACUAAGCUUUCAUAUAGUUUUUCUUUCUAAAA